GGGGGGUCUUUUCCAGGGGCGGACACUAGGGGGGGGGGGGGCUAAUAAUUUUGAAAGACUGCAGAAAUCUUGUACUAAAUAACACAAAUCACACUCAUACAACGCAAUUGUCAUCAUAAUAUAAUAGCAUAUGUUUCUGUACAUGGCUACAAAACCCUAGUUUUUUACAAAAUAUGUUCUCAGAACGCUGCAAAUGCCAUUUCCGGGAUUCAAAUUAAAAAUUUUUUCGGCACGAGCCCCCCUCCCCCGAAUAUUUCGUAAAGUGUCCGCCAAUGGUCUUUUCAUUAAAAUUCUCAAAAGUUAAAUGUCAGUAUAUGCUGUUUCUUCUGAAAUCUACAGAUUUUUUAAGCACUUCAUGCAGCAACGAUCAAAAAUACAUCAUGUUGAAUGUUUUCUUUAUGGCAUUAUGCUAACAAUCAAAUGUUUUCAAUUUUUAGUGCUUAGAAACAAGGUUAUAAAAACUGAAAAACAGAAAAAAGGAGGAAAAAACACUUUUUGCAACUGUGUGAUCAGGCCUUGUGGUAAAAAUACCAAUUUAAGGAAUUUUAAGGAAAUCUGAGGAAUCUUCGAGCUUUUUCUGAGGAAUUCGAAAAUUUGAUUGUGAGAGCACUGGUAUGCACCUCGCGUUCACUUCCGGGUUUUAAUCUGGGACGGCUUGUUUGUCUUUUUCGAAGCAAAUUUUUGUUUUCUUGUUACCUGUCCAUUCCUGUAUUGUUUUCAAUCAGUUGUCAAGAUAUGUGCAAGAAAAGGCUAUAUAAUACUGGGCAAGUGUUUCCUGAUGAAUUAGUAUGGACAUUCAAUAAGUUUUUUGUAGAAAAAAAGUUAUUUUUUUGUAUUUUGAAAAGUGAACUUUGUUGCAUCAUUUGGAAUAAAUACAACAGCUGCAGGCUCGGCUGCAGGUAUUGUUUACGAGCUAAUUGUAGCCUAUUCAAUCACGUUUGUCAACUGUUCAGUAUAAAUAUAGCAUCAGUGUUUAUAUUGGUAAAAUUUAAUACUGUUUACGAUAGUUUUUCACGCUGGAAAGCGUUUUUUUGCUUGUCCUACUUUUUGCACUGUUGUGACAGAGCAACUAAAAUUGAUUGAGUUUUUACUGCUUUUAAGUGCUUUUAUUUUUCUAUUUUCCCACGUUUUCCUGAUUUUAAACAGUUGUUGAUAUAACUUCAGUUUAGUUUGUUCUAAAAUAUUUGUUUUGGUGAAGAUUACUAGCGGUAUUGAAGUGAUUAUUAACAAUGCUUGCAGUUUUGUUGAUUUGUUUAUGGCGACCGAAAGUAUUUGUCGAAAAUCAACUCGUCUAAAAUUUUAGCGAAAUACAAGAAAAACAACCUUGUCAAUGGAAAAACUUUAGCUAGUAUCAUUAAACAAUACAUGGGGAACAAAAUAGGAUGAUUUUUAUUAUGCACAGUCUCAUAUUUUUUUCAAAGGAAGCAAAAAUCUGCGACGUUCUAGAGAGGACGUGAAAAUUGUAUUUUCGCGUCGUGAAAUCGUCCAAGACGACGUCGUAAACCAGAAGCUGACGAUAGUUGGCGCCAAAUGACGACAUCCACGUUCUCUUGACGUCCGCGUCUUGUUAUCUAAAACCGUCUAAUAUGAAAAGUUACACUGCGUUCAUAUGAGACGAAAAGUGUACCGAGAUCUCGCUUGUUGACAGGCGAGAUCUCGUUGACCAGGAUAAUGUUUUUUUCCCAUAUGAACACAACAUGCCACAACUUUCCCGCUUAGCGGGAAAACUUUCCGUCCUGUGAGCAACUUUUCUGUUUUUAAAAUGUAUUUUAUUGUGAUUUUUUUUAACUUUUCCCGCCUUCCGCGUCACACCAGUGCUACGUCACAGCCGGAAACUUUACCCGGUAAGCGGGACAACAUUUCUCCAUAUGAACAGAGCAAAAUUAUUUGGCUAGUCAAAAUGUUUUAUCGCUAAUCGGGAUAACUUUUCCCCAUAUGAACCCUAAAUGGCCCUAAAUGUUCUUAGGUUAAAUUGAUUAUAGUCCUGGGGGCGGUUGUACCAAGGUCGUUAACUUAGUCGUUGAUUGGUAUACUGUAACUCAGAUUAAAGUUCAGUAUUUAUAAGUUAAGGUUUCUUAUGUACUACAUACUAGUAGUAUGUGGUUUAUACCUAUAGUUUUACAGCCAUUUAGGUAUUUUUACAAAGGUUGAAGAAAUCACCAUCCGGGGUCGGGGGAGAUACCAUGCUAUCCGGCCUUCGUACAACCAACACCUGCCUAAUUUAACCAGGAUUCAAGAAUUCCUGCCAAUACAUAUCCUAGGGCGCUUUCCUUUAACACGGCCAAACCGGUCAGAACGGUCAAAUUGUUGAAUGAUAGACAAAACAUUUGGACUUCGGAUCCCUAUCUGACAGGAAAAUUUUGAUAACAUUAGAAUGAGGUCCAUUUUCGCUAGAUAUUUGAGAAACAUAGACCAGAUCUUUCCAUUGAUACAGAGAAAAGAAUUCGGGUCUGACCGGUCAGACCAGUAAAUGGAAGCGCCCCUAGUGUUGCAACUUGUUGGAACAGCACUGCUGCAAGUCUGCUGCAGGUUUGUUACAACUUGUACACUUUAUCGUGUGUACAAAAAGGUCGUAAAUUUGAGUGAUUUUACUCAAAUUUUGAGUCAAUGUGCAUGGGUGUAUUAUAUUGCCCAAGUUGUUGAGUCAAAACACUCGACAGGGAUAUAUUGCAGUGUAUGGGAAAGCUAGGAAACAAUGUUGCCCCAACAGAAAGCAUGCACAUGUUUACUUUAGAAAUAAAAUAUUAAACAUUUGUGUUAUCGAACAGUCCAUCUUUACAGCAGGAAAUCAAAUGUAUAUUGUUAGAAAUAAACACAGCACAAAGAAACAUAAAUGUUUUCGGGGUAAUUUUAUUUUCUAUACAUUACGCCAAACGUUGCUUGGUACGAUUAUAUAAC